rnacentral:lncRNA from 1 species
UGUAACAAUUUAGUGUGUUUGACAUUUCUAACUUUUAUUUCUAACAUUUGCUUUAUUAUAGAACAAUAAACAUGCAGUGAUUGAUUUUUCUUACUUCAAGUGGAUGAGUGAGCAAGUGACUAAAAUCUUCUAGUUGAUCUCUCUAAUGUAUUAGAUCUUCAUGCCUUUGAUAGUCUCUCUGGAAUAAGAGACCGAGAGGUUGAUGUCACUCCCAAUAUCGGAGGAAGUAUACACCCCCGUGUGAGAUGUUCCUUAAUGAUAUUCCACGGCGGAGGGGGUGAUAUGACUACAUACAUGGCUGAAAGUGGAAAGCCCCCAGGGAUAUUAUUCCCAGGAUCCUGGAGGGAAGAAGAUGAUGUUACUUUCAAUAUGACAGAAGGUGGAUGAAGUGGUGGACUGCCCCUCCACACCUGUGGACACGCCCCCACUGAUAUUCCUUCUAAUUGCAACGUGGGAG